GAUGAACGCUGGCGGCGUGCCUAAUACAUGCAAGUCGAGCGAACGGACGAGAAGCUUGCUUCUCUGAUGUUAGCGGCGGACGGGUGAGUAACACGUGGAUAACCUACCUAUAAGACUGGGAUAACUUCGGGAAACCGGAGCUAAUACCGGAUAAUAUUUUGAACCGCAUGGUUCAAAAGUGAAAGACGGUCUUGCCGUCACUUAUAGAUGGAUCCGCGCUGCAUUAGCUAGUUGGUAAGGUAACGGCUUACCAAGGCAACGAUGCAUAGCCGACCUGAGAGGGUGAUCGGCCACACUGGAACUGAGACACGGUCCAGACUCCUACGGGAGGCAGCAGUAGGGAAUCUUCCGCAAUGGGCGAAAGCCUGACGGAGCAACGCCGCGUGAGUGAUGAAGGUCUUCGGAUCGUAAAACUCUGUUAUUAGGGAAGAACAUAUGUGUAAGUAAAUGUGCACAUCUUGACGGUACCUAACCAGAAAGCCACGGCUAACUACGUG
rnacentral:rRNA from 1 species